AGGACCAAGACAGCAAGAAAAUGUCUCCAGCUCAAGCCCUAUUAGCCUUUGGCUGUGAUGGCGCCUCCUACGCUGUGAGGCAUGUACUCUACACCAUCCUAGAAGACAAAAGACUCACUUGUCAACCUGCAGUGUUGAUGGUGAAAAAGGAGGAAGAAGGAAUGGAACGCAAGAA